UACGUAGGGGGCAAGCGUUGUCCGGAUUUAUUGGGCGUAAAGAGCGUGUAGGCGGCCAGGUAGGUGGGUUGUGAAAACUGGAGGCUCAACCUUCAGACGUCGACCCAAACCCCCUGGCUAGAGUCCGGAAGAGGAGAGUGGAAUUCCUGGUGUAGCGGUGAAAUGCGCAGAUAUCAGGAAGAACACCUAUGGCGAAGGCAGCUCGCUGGGACGGUACUGACACUGAGACGCGAAAGCGUGGGGAGCAAACAGG
rnacentral:rRNA from 1 species